rnacentral:rRNA from 1 species
UACGUAGGUGGCGAGCGUUAUCCGGAAUUAUUGGGCGUAAAGAGCGCGCAGGUGGUUGAUUAAGUCUGAUGUGAAAGCCCACGGCUUAACCGUGGAGGGUCAUUGGAAACUGGUCAACUUGAGUGCAGAAGAGGGAAGUGGAAUUCCAUGUGUAGCGGUGAAAUGCGUAGAUAUCGGGAGGAACACCAGUGGCGAAGGCGACUUCCUGGCACAAUACUGACGCUCAUGUGCGAAAGCUAGGGUAGCGAACGGGAUUAGAUA